rnacentral:rRNA from 1 species
CGAUUAUCAAUAAGCGGAGGAAAAGAAACCAACCGGGAUUGCCUCAGUAACGGCGAGUGAAGCGGCAAGAGCUCAAAUUUGAAAGCUGGCUCCUUCGGAGUCCGCAUUGUAAUUUGCAGAGGAUGCUUUGGGUGCGGCCCCCGUCUAAGUGCCCUGGAACGGGCCGUCAGAGAGGGUGAGAAUCCCGUCUUGGGCGGGGUGUCCGUGCCCGUGUAAAGCUCCUUCGACGAGUCGAGUUGUUUGGGAAUGCAGCUCUAAAUGGGUGGUAAAUUUCAUCUAAAGCUAAAUACUGGCCGGAGACCGAUAGCGCACAAGUAGAGUGAUCGAAAGAUGAAAAGCACUUUGAAAAGAGAGUUAAACAGCACGUGAAAUUGUUGAAAGGGAAGCGCCUGCGACCAGACUCGCCCGCGGGGUUCAGCCGGCAUUCGUGCCGGUGUACUUCCCCGUGGGCGGGCCAGCGUCGGUUUGGGCGGCCGGUCAAAGGCCCCUGGAAUGUAGUACCCUCCGGGGUACCUUAUAGCCAGGGGUGCAAUGCGGCCAGCCUGGACCGAGGAACGCGCUUCGGCACGGACGCUGGCAUAAUGGUCGUAAACGACCCGUCUUGAAACACGGACC